AGCGCCCGCAAGGCCUCCCUGAACUCCUGAAGCAUAACGGUCGCUCGUCCAGAGCGUUCCUGCUCGUGUGAAACGCAGCUGGCAGCCCAGCGCCGGUAACGCACCCCGCCGCCUCCUCUCCUGCAACCGCCGAGUCGCCGACGACACUUCCGGCCACACGAAACGCGCGCAGGAGCCUUGAAAGCUGAGCCGCCUCCUCUCGCUCACCUCUUUCUGCACCGCGCCAUCUCCUCCCAAAAGCCCCAGCCUGCGCCCCUGCACACAACGUCGCAGCGUUCGCCGCCGCCGACCGUUUCCGAUGAACCGGGCCGCCGCAGGAUGAACUCUCGCGCCAGAAACAUAACCUCGAAGCGUAGAAUCCUACAUCCUGACCUGCAGCCCGAACCGUCGUCCACAGCUCUCCAAUUCCAGCGUCUACUUAGACUCCGGCCGCCACGUUCGUCGCUCGAUUUCGUUGCCGUCGGUCAGUCUUCCCUGCCUAUCUCGACCGACAUGAUCGUGCCAUCACCAACUUAGACUUGUUCCGGUGUUUUUCGUUCGUUCCACUUUGUGGCACUCGUCUCCAAGAGCCCAGAACACAGCGACCUGCCCCAAGUCACAACUAAAAAUCACAAAAUGUGGAGAGCAUUGGAAAUUGGAUAGUUAGAAAAAGGUCACAUGACAUACUAAACUACAGAAGCGCCAGGCCAUUAUAGGUUAAUUAUUUUUACCCGUAUAUGCAAUGUUCUUAGUUGCUCAAGGGCGUCGUGUAUUCGUAUGCUUUAUAUUUGAUGGUAUCUUGGAAUGAGGUGGGACCUUUUGUAUGGUAGAUAACAUACAAAUGAAGUCGGAAGCUUUUAUAUUUUUUGGUGUUGCUAGAGCCAUUUCCCAUGUCCAUCUAUGAAUUCAGUCACCCUCUGGUAGAGGAUUUGCGUGACAUUUAUGCGUGCUCGACGAGCCUCGCUGUCUAUUGUUUCCCCAAUGAUGGCAUCGGUGGGUUUUGGUAUGCUCUGCAUGUGUGAUUUUGCUCAGGUUUUGGAAAGAUCGGGCUAAGGUAUGGUUCUAGAGAAAACUCAAUGGUGACCAACCGGAGUUCACUAGGCUGCAACCGCAGGUUCUUUUCAAAUCCUGACACGUUUGUGGACAACUUCAGAUUAUUAAGGUAGACAACGCUAAUAAACUUUUCAUAGAUAGUAUUGUCCAACAACCUCAUACUUUUCCAAAAUGUUAGGUCUUAUCUUACAUUACAUCGAGUUCUAAACAUUUUUAAGUAGCAUAUGCACAGCUAGAGAGUUCUAUUCACAAUAUCCAUAAUAUUUGAUCAUCUCUUUCGGCUUAAAUGCUUGACAUCCAAAGAAGCAAUAGUCCAGAAUUUUGCAUUCAUGAGUCCUUCUCUGUAACUGGAUAUAAGCAUACCUAUCCAUUUACGAAUGAUGUUCUCCUUUUCCUCAACUGGAAGGAAAAGAGGAACCUUUCAGAGGAAAAUAUUCCUAGCUGCAAAGUUUAUUUGAUUUCAACUUUC